UCUGCGCGCGGGGCAGUUCGUCCCCAUUCCCUAGUAGGCGCUUCAGGGAACUGAGCGAGGGGCUUAAUGCCUGCCCCGGAGAAAGGAGUGGGUUAAAUGUCCUCGCACCCAUAACUAGCAGGCUCUUCUCCGAGGCUUGGCCCACUGCGGGCGUGAGACGGAGGAAGAGGCGAGGCCCAGGCGGAAAGGUCGAUGCUCAACCAGUGAGCCACACUGGCUGGGCUGAAUGACAUCUUGAUUGCAGCCUUCUGAGAGACCCAGAGCCAGAAUGACCAUCAACUAAGCUGAUCCUAUAUUCUACAGGCACUAUAAGGAGAGCUUGCUAAUUCAAGUUGAAGCAUUAACCGUCCUCCUGAAAACACUCAAGCCAAUGAGGUAACAAAGGCCCAGAAGACAAAAAUUAAGCAAAGCAAGUUCUUGAAAACUCUUAUAACCCCAAUUUAAGAAAAAUAAAGAAGCAGGAAAGAAAUUAGAAAAAGGCACAUGACAGCAUAUGAGGUAUUUAUGAAAGUAUUUUUGUUUAUAUAUUUAGCUUUUUUUAAUAUUUAGCUUUUUUAAUUACAUGCAUUAUGUAGCUUGUACUGUGGUUUUGAAAUUGUAAAAUAAGUAUUUGUUGGGUCUGUUCUCUCAGUGCUUGGAAAUAUAAAAAAGAAACAGCUCCCCCUGCUUGUCGCUUACAUGUGCAGGAUCACAAACUUACAUGCCGCUUGGCCAGUCCCAGGGAGGGCUGUCCAAAGUGAGGGACAUGUGGCCAUGAAAGGUUCAGCUGCCUUUGGACUCCACUGUUUGUUGCCAAGUGAAGUGCAGGGCAUUCCACAUAUUCAGAACACUGUGUUGGUUUGGGCUCUCCCAAAAGCAGGCACUGAGACAAAAAUUUGGGUGCAAAUGUCUAUUUGGGAGGGAUUGCAAGGAACUCGAUGAGGAAGUGGGGCUGUUGCCAUUUGGCAGCCAAUGAAAGGAAGGAGAGAGGUUGCCUUAUCUUUUCAAAAUACGUAUUUUGAGGUUUUAGUUAUUAACAGUAAACAUAUUUAAGCUUCUUAGUAAUUGUUUACAGACAGCAGAAAUGUUUUUCCAAUUGUGCUCUGAACCCAGAUUUAAAGUAGGCUCUUUUUCUUCCUUUUAGGCAUAGACUGUGGAAAUGAGCACAUUAUAUGUGGGAUGCAUGACAAGAAUCAGUUCAGGGGGAAGCAGAGUGGGUUGGGGUGGAGUAGGGCAUAGGAGGGAUAAAUGGUGUUGGGGGGAAAAUAAGGAGAAAAACAAAAUCAGUUCAGGAAAAUUUGGAGUGGGGAAAGUAAGUGGAAGGAAACCAAACCAUUCAAAUGAGGUGCACAAAGCACAUCAGAACAGAUUCGGGGGAGGUAGAUAAAACCUAAUCUCGAGCUAAUUGUAAACAAGCAAUGUAAUGUUGAAUUCUUUUGAAAUAUAAAUUUUAAAAUAGCUUGAUCGUCUAGUUCUUUUGUAAGGUCCAUGCUAACUCCUGUAUCCUGCACUAAACUGUGUUAAAAUCGUGAAAAGCUUCCCAGGGCUACAGAGUUAGUUAAACUUGUGACUGUGAUGAAUCUGCAGGCUAUUGCCUUUCUGUGGCUUCCUUCUCAACUCCAUGUUUACAGACCUGUCCCAAAGGUAGAUGUCUUACUGACCUCUGCCUUUGAGUUAUAAUUCUUAUAAGUAAAUGAGAAAAUAUGAAGUUGGAUAUAAAAUGCUGACACGUGUGGAGCAAUGACCCCAAAUCACUUUACACAGAGAGCAUAUGGAAUGCUCUUCCCUGUCACUGUUUAUCACUCUUGGAAACGUCCUUUCUUUGGCCUCCAGGACACCACUGUCACUCUAGGACAUCACUGGCUGCUCCUUCUCAGUGACCUCUGCAGGCCCCUCUACCUAUCCCUGACUCUUAACAUUAAAGUGGCCCAGGACUUAGUCUUCUGACCUCUUCUUUCUCUCUGCACAUCCUCCAUAUGAUCUUAUCCAGGCCCAUCAGUUUAUAUACUUAUGUACAUAGCAAAGACUCCCAACUUGAGCAUCUCUAACCCAGACCUCUGUUCUGAAGUCCAGGUUCAUAUAUUCAACUGCUAAUUAAAAAUCUCUCCUUGGAUUUCUCCAAUAAAUGUUUCAAACUUUGAAUGUCUAAACCAGAGCUUUGAUUCCCACCCACCCCAUUUUAGUUUGGAUUCCCCCAAGAGCAGACUGUGAGACAAGGACCCAGAGUAGUAGUUAAUUCAGGGAUUGAGGGACAUGGGUGAAUUGCUUGCAAAGAUGGCCUUAACUUUCUUCCCUUCUUAUAUGUCUGCCCCUCGUGCAAAGUAACUUUGAUAUCACUCCCCAUCAAGAAGUGAGAUUUUUCUCUUCACCCUUUGAAUCUGAUCUGGCGCCCUAACUGGUUUGGCUCAGUGGAUAGAGCAUCGGCCUGCGGACUCAAGGGUCCCAGGUUCGAUUCCAGUCAAGGGCAUGU